UUCAGGUGUUUCAGAGGUUCAGGCGUUUCAGAGGUUCAGGUGUUUCAGGAGGUUCAGGGGUUUAAGGUGUUUCAAAGGUUCAGGUGUUUCAGAGGUUCAGGGGUUUCAGAGUUUCAGGUGUUUCAGAGGUUCAGUUGUUUUAGAGGUUCAAGGGUUUCACAGUUUCAGGUGUUUCAGAGGUUCAGGUGUUUCAGAGGUUCAGGUGUUUCAGAGGUUCAGGUGUUUCAGAGGUUCAAGGGUUUCACAGUUUCAGGUGUUUCAGAGGUUCAGGUGUUUCAGAGGUUCAGGUGUUUCAGAGGUUCAGGUGUUUCAGAGGUUCAGGUGUUUCAGAGGUUCAGGUGUUUCAGAGGUUCAGGUGUUUCUGAGGUUCAGGUGUUUCUGAGGUUCAGGUGUUUCUGAGGUUCAGGUGUUUCAGCGGGUUAGGUGUUUCUGAGGUUCAGGUGUUUCAGAGGUUCAGGGGUUUCAGUGGUUACAGAGGUUCAGGUUUUAGGUGUUUCAGAGGUUCAGGUGUGGUGUUUUAGAAGGGGUGUACAGU